AUUGAACGCUGGCGGCAGGCCUAACACAUGCAAGUCGAGCGAGUGGCGGACGGGUGAGUAAUGUCUGGGGAACUGCCCGAUAGAGGGGGAUAACUACUGGAAACGGUGGCUAAUACCGCAUACUAUCGGAUGUGCCCAUAUGGGAUUAGCUGGUGGGUGGGGUAACGGCUCACCAAGGCGACGAUCCCUAGCUGGUCUGAGAGGAUGAUCAGCCACACUGGAACUGAGACACGGCCCAGACUCCUACGGGAGGCAGCAGUGGGGAAUAUUGCACAAUGGGCGCAAGCCUGAUGCAGCCAUGCCGCGUGUAUGAAGAAGGCCUUCGGGUUGUAAAGUACUUUCAGCGGGGAGGCGUUACCCGCAGAAGAAGCACCGGCUAACUCCGUGCCAGCAGCCGCGGUAAUUC
rnacentral:rRNA from 1 species